rnacentral:rRNA from 1 species
CUGCAACUCGCCUGCAUGAAGCUGGAAUUGCUAGUAAUCGCGGAUCAGCAUGCCGCGGUGAAUACGUUCCCGGGCCUUGUACACACCGCCCGUCACACCAUGAGAGUUGGAGAUACCCGAAGCCUAUGAGCUAACUUUUAGAGGCAGUAGUCGAAGGUAGAAUCAAUGAUUGGGGUGAAGUCGUAACAAGGUACC